AGGACGAACGCUGGCGGCGUGCUUAACACAUGCAAGUCGAACGGUGAAGCCUUCGGGUGGAUCAGUGGCGAACGGGUGAGUAACACGUGAGCAAUCUGCCCUUGACUCUGGGAUAACUUCGGGAAACCGUGGCUAAUACCGGAUAUGACACAUAGUCGCAUGGUUUGUGUGUGGAAAGAUUUAUCGGUCAGGGAUGAGCUCGCGGCCUAUCAGCUUGUUGGUGGGGUAAUGGCUCACCAAGGCGACGACGGGUA
rnacentral:rRNA from 1 species